AUUACAGACGUGAGCCACCAUGCCUGGUCCAAUUAGUUUAAAUUUAAAUAGCCACAUGUAGCUGGUGGGUACCAUAUUGGACAACUCAGUUCUAGAGGAGGUGGCAGGAGCCUCCCUUCUUUCCACCUUUCCUAUCCUCCUUUCUUAGCAGGAGUUGUUGACUUAUGCUGUGCUGUGCACUGUGGAGGCCACCAAGAUGAACAAAACAUGGUCCCAGCUCCUGAGGGCCCCCAGCUCAUUCUGUGAGACAGACAGACCAGCCUGUGGAUAGAAACUACAACCCAAGGGGACGCAUGCAGCCCUCCAGCUGUGUGGGAGUAGAAGGAGUAAGCUACUCACUCAGUUGGGGCCACAAAGGCUAUACUGUGAAGGAUGAGUUAGGAGGCCUGGGUGGGAGAAAGUCUUUUUGAUAAGGGAACAGUAGAGCCAAAGACUUGAAGGCAAGAAAGAGCAUAGAGUGUUUGGAGAAUGCAGGUUGAGGUGAGGCUGGGGGAAUCAAAUCUCACACUCCCAUCCCCAUCACCAAGGAAUGGCUGGCAAGCCGACGGAGCGAAGAACUUUAAGGGCAGUCCUAGUGAGGGUCUUGUUCACCCAACCUGCCUCACAACAUUCAGGACAUGUAAAGGGGAUGGCGCUGGGGACCCUCUCCCUCCACACCCAACUCACAGAGUCUUGUCUCCCUGCCUUUCCUGCACAGAAGGGCUCAGGGCCCUGAGAUCCUCCUUUGGCAAAAUCCCCAAGAAUUCUCCCUCUGACAACACACCCUUCUUUUCUUCAGCCUUCUGACCGAAAACUUAGUUCUGACUCAUGCCUUGGCAUUCCUGGGCUGGGCUGUCUCCUGGUUUUACCGGUGCUGGGCUGACAGCUGGACUGACGUCCUAACUGGUGUUCCUGCAUUUAGUCCCACCUCACUUUAGUCCACCCCCCGACAGCAGUCCAGAGAAUCUUUCUCAAAGUGACUAGAAGUACAAAUGUCGACACCUGAAGUUUGGUUCUAGACUUGGUGUGUGAAUGUCUUAUGAUCACCAUUCUCUUGCAGAGACUAGGGGAAGAAAACUUCCUGCCUGAGAAUUUGAUGUGGCGUAAGUUUAAGGAAAGCUUUGGCCAGGGUAACCAUUGGAUGUAGUGCAGUGCACAUUAUGGGCUACCUGCCAGUUCUCUUUUCCUUUUGUUCUCUCCUAACAGAACUCUAGUGUGAUUGAGGUAACCCCAUCAUACACUUCUAGACACAGCCAGCUGCCCCUGGGGGUCUCUGACGCCACCCCCAACUUCAGAGGAGUGCUUGAUUGGUCUAAGGAAAAUCCCAUUUUGCUUGCCAGUGUCUCUGUCUCAACUCACUGAUUGAGGAAAGCCAUGAGAUCCGAUUUUGGCCAAUGAAACACAGGAAAUACCUGCUGAGGACUUUGGGGAAGAUUUCCUUGCCUUACUCUUGAGAGGCAGACAUAGCAGAGUAAGGAGCUUGGAAGAAGCUGAAGACGCCACUGAAGCCCUGAAUCAACCUACCCUGAAGCCCAUCCCAACUCCACACUUUCUGUUUUGUGACAUAAUACAUUUCUGUUAUUUGA